CAAACGGCCCUUUUCAGGGCCACAACUAAAUUCACGAAAGAGUUG
rfam:Culex pipiens quinquefasciatus supercont3.67 genomic scaffold, whole genome shotgun sequence.